GGCCUGUAGCUCAAUGGUAUAGCAUUUGCUUUACCUUCAGAAGGUCCCAGGUUUGAUCCCUGACAUCACCA